GGGGUGAAAUGGUUUCGACGGGGAUAGUGAGGGCCGGAUAAGCGAGCCGAAGCCCCGAGCUUCGUUAAAAGCGGGACCUGUUUAAACAUAACAGACAACAACUACGCACUUCCUGUCGCUGCCUAAGCGCGUGACAGCGUCCGCCUGAGAAGACCUAUCGUCUCAGAUACGGGCGUCAUUCAGGAUAGGGAACGAAUCCGGGUAAGCUUUGCCCCGGACCGGACUUUAUGAAGCUACCGGACCGGCGAUCCCGCCGUUGGGAGCGCCGCCAGGGGAAUACUUGUACGACGGCUACGCUCGUAGAAAGUUGGGUCAUCAUGUUCUCGGACGGGAGUUCGACUCUCCCCACCUCCACCA
rnacentral:tmRNA from 1 species